rnacentral:rRNA from 1 species
UCGGAAUUACUGGGCGUAAAGCGUGCGUAGGCGGAAUGGUAAGUCAGAUGUGAAAUCCCGGGGCUCAACCUCGGAACUGCAUCCGAUACUGCCAAUCUAGAGUAGUGGAGGGGAGUCUGGAAUUCACGGUGUAGCAGUGAAAUGCGUAGAUAUCGUGAGGAACACUAGUGGCGAAGGCGAGACUCUGGACACUAACUGACGCUGAGGCACGAAGGCUAGGGUAGCGAAAGGGAUUAGAUACCCCUGUAGUCCUAGCAGUAAACGGUGUGCGUUUGGUGUGGGCGGGUUCGACCCCGUCCGUGCCGAAGCUAACGCGUUAAACGCACCGCCUGGGGAGUACGGCCGCAAGGCUAAAACUCAAAGAAAUUGACGGGGACCCGCACAAGCGGUGGAGUAUGUGGCUUAAUUCGAUGCAACGCGAAGAACCUUACCUAGGCUUGACAUGCUUGUCGUAGUUCUGUGAAAGCAGAUCGUCAGUUCGGCUGGACAUGCACAGGUGCUGCAUGGCUGUCGUCAGCUCGUGUCGUGAGAUGUUGGGUUAAGUCCCGCAACGAGCGCAACCCCUAUGAUUAGUUGCCAGCAAGUAAUGUUGGGGACUCUAGUCAGACUGCCUGUAUUAAACAGGAGGAAGGUGGGGACGACGUCAAGUCAGUAUGGCCCUUACGCCUAGGGCUGCACACGUACUACAAUGCUCAGUACAAUGUGAACCGAUACCGCAAGGUGGAGGAAAUCCUGAAAACUGAGCUCAGUUCGGAUUGUGGGCUGCAACUCGCCCACAUGAAGCUGGAAUCGCUAGUAAUGGCACAUCAGCUACGGUGCCGUGAAUACGUUCCCGGGUCUUGUACACACCGCCCGUCACAUCA